rnacentral:lncRNA from 1 species
CACACGGAAAAAAGCUCCUAUACAUCUUAAUCUUCACGGAGGAAGAAGCAGGAGAGGGAGAGAGCUCAGUGGGAAAGGUGCUGCCACUAAGCCUGACGUGAGUUCAAUCCCUCAGAUCUACACGGUGGAAGAAGAAAACUGAUUCCUGCAAAUUUUCCUCUAACCUCUAUACAUUCAG